rnacentral:rRNA from 1 species
CGGCAUGCCUAAGACAUGCAAGUCGAACGAAGUGGCCCAUUGAAGAUGGAGUGCUUGCACAAAGUCAGAUUUGGUUUACCACUUAGUGGCAGACGGGUGAGUAACACGUGGGUAACCUACCUCAAAGACUGGGACAACAGUUGGAAACGACUGCUAAUACCGGAUAAUCCAUAUUUAGAUAACUAGAUAUGUUAAAAGAAGCGUUUGCUUCACUUUGAGAUGAGCCUGCGGCGCAUUAGCUAGUUGGUAGGGUAAAGGCCUACCAAGGCGACGAUGCGUAGCCGACCUGAGAGGGUGAACGGCCACAACUGGGACUGAGACACGGCCCAGACUCCUACGGGAGGCAGCAGUAGGGAAUUUUCGGCAAUGGGCGAAAGCCUGACCGAGCAACGCCGCGUGAACGAAGAAGGUCUUCGGAUUGUAAAGUUCUGUUGUUGAGGAAGAAUGUGCCUUAUAGGGAAUGAUAAGGUAAUGACGGUACUCAAUUAGAAAGCCACGGCUAACUACGUG